CUGACCAAUGAUGAGAAAGUGUUUAUGAACAAAAGGUGGUGAUUAAUCCAGUUCUGCGGGUCCAUU